rnacentral:lncRNA from 1 species
AAUUGCACUCAAAGGAGGGACAAGCCACCACAUGGGUUGCCACAUCCACACUCCCAGAGAAAGCUUCACAUGUGAGAUAAAUGCACUCAAAGAUUCCUCACAAGUAGCUCUUUGGAGCUUCAGAUGUGAAAUGGAUCAUUCCUCAAUCUGUAAUAGACCCUUCUGUGAAGCUCUUCAAUCAAACCAGAGAAUUCAAGAGUUUCCAACACCUAAGAGUGGUAUUUGGCAAAUGGUGGGCCAAAGGAAUAAAGAAGGCAUGCAAAACUCUUGACAGAAGACAUUCAGAAAUUGAUUUGAUAUCAGAUACAAGGAGAAAAUAUGCCAGUAAGAAAAUGCAUUUUUCAAGAUUAAAUUCGGCAUUUGUUACUUAAUAGCAUUUGUCAUAUUCCAAUUUUUCAUAUGUAGUAAAUUCAUUUCAAAUCA